rnacentral:rRNA from 1 species
UACGUAGGGUGCAAGCGUUGUCCGGAGUUAUUGGGCGUAAAGAGCUCGUAGGCGGUUUGUUGCGUCGGCUGUGAAAUCCCGAGGCUCAACCUCGGGUCUGCAGUCGAUACGAGCAAACUAGAGUGUUGCAGGGGAGACUGGAAUUCCCGGUGUAGCGGUGAAAUGCGUAGAGAUCGGGAGGAACACCAGAGGCGAAGGCGGCUCGCUGGACAGUUACUGACACUCAACUACGAAAGCGUGGGGAGCAAACAGG